GGGCUCCAUAAAUACCUGCCGAGUAAAUGAAUGAAUAGUAGGUGCUCAGUAUGGUUUUCCAAAAUCAGUGAUUGAGCAGACACUGUAUGUUAGGCAGUUGCACAUGUUACUGCAUUUAAUUCUCAUGCUCAGCUUUGAAGGGAAGAACUAUCUGUCUUUUACAGAUCGGAUGAGAGAAGAGAAGUGACUUCCCCAUGGUCACAUGUCUAGUUGGCAAUGGAAGUGGGAUUCAAGUCCAGUUCCACCUGACUUCAAAGCUUAUUCCUGUUUGACUUCACCCUGCUGCCUCUAAGAUAAAGGGGAGAUCAGGAGAGCAGAAUGGUUGCUUCCCCAGAGGAACAUGUGGUCUCAUUUUCUGCUUAGGGAUAGCUCACAGGAUUCAUGAAGUGGUCACCAGAGGAUAAGGACCAACCAGGUUAACGUGAAGAAAACACCCAGCUGCAGCUGUUUAAUGAGCAACUCGAAGCUGUGGAUAAGAGCAAUCACUGCACCCAGCCACCUCUAUAUACAUGUACACAAAGCCACACAGUUUACACAGUCACAGGUAUUUAAGUACACACUAUUCACACACAAAUACAUAUAUAGACACACAUGUACAGUCCGUCCAAAAUAUAUGUACAUAAAAGCACACUAUUACACCUUCAUAUGUGCACACACACACACACCCAGACUCACUUCAUACACACAUAGAUACAACAGCCACAGCUCCCCAUCACCUACACACACACACACACACCUGGACACCCAGCUCUAAUAUAAUCAGAUAGAGAUAUGCAUGCAGACAAAUUUGCCUGUAUAGUCAAACACAUAGGCAAAUAGAGAACGAGACACCACAUGAACAAAGGCAAACCUACACACAAAGACACAGAGCACACUUACGCAUAUAUCUAUAGACCCACCAUGGCACAUAUGGGUAAGUGCACACAGGCAAACUCACACACACGAGCAUGCACAGGCAGAGAACACAAAUGUACACUCCCAGGUGUCAUAAAGAACAGCCCAGCUUCGGCUUGGGAACGUCACAUCAGACAAUAGGAACGGCUGCACCGCGCGUUUCCUCGGCUGCCAGCUUCCCAGCCACAGAGGAUGCCUCACCUGCUAUGUCAGCUCCCCUCUGCCCCACCUCACAAGAAGCUCAGAAGCUGAGGAGUCACAGAGAGACCUCCCUACUGUGUCAGAGCAUUUUAGGACCCAAAGGGACCUAAGAGAGUGCUCAGACAGCUGGCUGCGUUAGGAGCUACCUGUGGCUGCUGAAGAAGAGUUUGCGUCAAUUUAAAGAAAGAGCCAUUCAAGGAAUGAGGACCAUGACCUUGGCUGCACUGACCAGCUGGGCUCUGGAGACUCAGUGAGGCUGCCCAGCCACCAACAGGCCCUGCACAAUAGAUCCACGGACCCAGCAGUCAGAGGUGACCCUAGGGGUCACUGGCCCGUGGCUAAGGAGGAGGAGCACAGACCUGCGACCCCCUUUUCCCAUGGACCACCCAGGGAGGCUGAGCGGGGACUCUGAGCUCAGAUGGACAACCUCAGAGCCACUGGGAAUUUGCCUGAGGCCACUGGGGCCAGGGUUAAAUCCAUAUGAAGCAGCGCGGGCUGUGCACCUGCCAUUUUCUAGGCUCUGUCACAUGCAUCUUUCUGCCAAAUCUCAUGGUGAUCCUUCAAGAAUAGUACUAUUAAUCUCCCCAUUGACAGAGGGAGAAAGGGAGGCUCAGAGACGUUAAGUGUCUCACCAAAGCUCACACAGCUUCCAAGCAAUAGAACUUUACUCAGUACUCAGUACAGGUUAACAUUUAUUCAUUCACUCGAUAACCAUUUGCAGCACAGCUACCAUAUGCCAGGCAGUGUUCUAGGCACUUAGAAUACAUAGAUGAGCAAAACAGGCAAAACCUUUCCCUCAGGGCGUUACCAUUUGAGUGCCACCAUGCCACGGCUGGUACAGUUGCUAUUGAGACAAACAAAAUAAGACCCAGUUUUUGCCUUUGGGGAGUAGGUAGUCUAGUGGAGGAGGCACAUACACAGAAAAUUCCAAAGUACUGUGGAAAUCUCAGGGUACUUUGAUAGGGAUUACCAGAGGAGCUGUGAGAAUAAAGGCUGGAUAUCAGGGAAGGCUUCCUGGAAGAGGUGUUGCCUGAAAUGAGCCUGGAAGGAUCACUUAGGGACAGAAAAGUCAUUCCGUGUAGAAUUCAUGGUGAGUGACAGAGCCUAAACCCAGUCUCUUUUGCAUGCUGAGCACUGAGACCCAGACGCUGGUGCUCAGACCUGAUGACUUAUUUUCCCAGGUACAGCUUGAGCAAAGACACAGAAGCAGAAGGCAGGUUUUUGGUUCCAUGAACUCUACAUCUGGCUACAUACAAAUGGUGAAGAGGAACAGGGAGAAACAUGGUUGAAAAGAACAGGCUUGGACUUCAGGAAGCAGUAAAAUGAGCGAAUGCCAUUUAUGGUUACAAAGAUAACUCAGCUGGGGGCCAAACAGAGACUGAAAUGGAGUGGGUGAGGAUGGAGGCCGGGAGGAGAUGGCUGCAGAGGUCCCAGCAAUGACAGUGGUUGUGGGAAGGGGCAACCCCAAGUCUUGUGCUCCCAACUGCAAAUCCAGUGCUUUUUCUAAAAAAAUAUUUAAAUAAUUUAUUUAUUUUUGAGAUGGAGUCUCGCUCUGUCACCCAGGCUGGA
rnacentral:lncRNA from 1 species